rnacentral:rRNA from 1 species
UGGGGAAUUUUGGACAAUGGACGCAAGUCUGAUCCAGCCAUGCCGCGUGCGGGAAGAAGGCCUUCGGGUUGUAAACCGCUUUUGCCAGGGAAGAAACGAGUUUCUCUAAUACAGAGACUUAAUGACGGUACCUGAAGAAUAAGCACCGGCUAACUACGUGCCAGCAGCCGCGGUAAUACGUAGGGUGCGAGCGUUAAUCGGAAUUACUGGGCGUAAAGCGUGCGCAGGCGGUUAUAUAAGACAGAUGUGAAAUCCCCGGGCUCAACCUAGGACCUGCAUUUGUGACUGCAUCGCUGGAGUGCGGCAGAGGGGGAUGGAAUUCCGCGUGUAGCAGUGAAAUGCGUAGAUAUGCGGAGGAACACCGAUGGCGAAGGCAAUCCCCUGGGCCUGCACUGACGCUCAUGCACGAAAGCGUGGGGAGCAAACA